UACGUAGGGAGCAAGCGUUAUCCGGAUUUAUUGGGUGUAAAGGGUGCGUAGACGGGAAGGCAAGUUAGUUGUGAAAUCCCUCGGCUUAACUGAGGAACUGCAACUAAAACUGGUUUUCUUGAGUGCUGGAGAGGAAAGUGGAAUUCCUAGUGUAGCGGUGAAAUGCGUAGAUAUUAGGAGGAACACCAGUGGCGAAGGCGACUUUCUGGACAGUAACUGACGUUGAGGCACGAAAGUGUGGGGAGCAAACAGG
rnacentral:rRNA from 1 species